UGGCUUGUAGCUCUGAAGAACAAGUUUAAAAAUGAAAGGAGGAAACUGCAAAACAACCAUGAAGUGCAAAAGCAGCGGGAAAAGUUCGGGAGCCAUCGGCGCCGAGUUAGUAGCGAACGUGCCAACUCCGAGCUACAGCGAACCAGGCGACAGAAUAUUCCACUUGGGACAGAUCAUGAGGAUGAUGCAAGCCUUCAAGCACACGAAGUAUGGCUGAAGACUGAGCACAAGAAGAGGAGCCCCAAUGAAGAGCAAAUCAAGAUACGCAUGGCAGCAACUUACAAAGGAAGGUGCGCAAAGCUGGCGGUAAUGCCUGUGCAAGCGUCAUUAGAAACAUACCCCUACAUAAUGAUUGCAGAGCGGUUUUUCAGAGACUUCGAAUGUCUCACGCAGCGGCUGGCUCUCUCUGCGGUCCAAGAUGGCAUUCAAGAGGUGGUCAAUCUUACACUCAAAGGCACA